UGCAAGUCGAGCGAAUGAUAGGGAGCUUGCUCCCUUGAUUUAGCGGCGGACGGGUGAGUAACACGUGGGCAACCUACCUGUAAGACUGGGAUAACUUCGGGAAACCGGAGCUAAUACCGGAUACUUUCUUUUCUCGCAUGAGAAGAGAUGGAAAGACGGUUUCGGCUGUCACUUACAGAUGGGCCCGCGGCGCAUUAGCUAGUUGGUGAGGUAAUGGCUCACCAAGGCCACGAUGCGUAGCCGACCUGAGAGGGUGAUCGGCCACACUGGGACUGAGACACGGCCCAGACUCCUACGGGAGGCAGCAGUAGGGAAUCUUCCGCAAUGGACGAAAGUCUGACGGAGCAACGCCGCGUGAACGAAGAAGGCCUUCGGGUCGUAAAGUUCUGUUGUUAGGGAAGAACAAGUACCAGAGUAACUGCUGGUACCUUGACGGUACCUAACCAGAAAGCCACGGCUAACUACGUGCCAGCAGCCGCGGUAAUACGUAGGUGGCAAGCGUUGUCCGGAAUUAUUGGGCGUAAAGCGCGCGCAGGUGGUUCCUUAAGUCUGAUGUGAAAGCCCACGGCUCAACCGUGGAGGGUCAUUGGAAACUGGGGAACUUGAGUGCAGAAGAGGAAAGUGGAAUUCCACGUGUAGCGGUGAAAUGCGUAGAGAUGUGGAGGAACACCAGUGGCGAAGGCGACUUUCUGGUCUGUAACUGACACUGAGGCGCGAAAGCGUGGGGAGCGAACAGGAUUAGAUACCCUGGUAGUCCACGCCGUAAACGAUGAGUGCUAAGUGUUAGAGGGUUUCCGCCCUUUAGUGCUGCAGCUAACGCAUUAAGCACUCCGCCUGGGGAGUACGGCCGCAAGGCUGAAACUCAAAGGAAUUGACGGGGGCCCGCACA
rnacentral:rRNA from 1 species